CAAAUCCUCUUUUAGGGGUAGAGAUAUAACCAUUAAAACACAAAUAAAAAUCUUUAGAGAAAUACUUUUAACUUUUUAAGAACAAAAUAAGAAACAAUUUUGAAAUAUAAAGACUCAUUUCCUGUUUAAUAAAAUAAAAACAAUUGUGCUAGGUCUCACUGGAAUUGAUUAUGUCUCAGUAGAUACCACAUCCAUUCAAUCUUGCAUGAAGAUCCAUGCAAAAAUUUCUUUUUAUCUUUUCUUUUUUCUUCUUAUAUACUAGUAUGUUAAUUGACUGUGACUUGGUUAAAUUUCAUUCGGUUGAGACUCGGCCACAUCUAUCCCUAAUAGUAAAGCACGGAUUGACUUCGUGGGUUCACCGUCACAAUACGUUUCUCCCCGUGAAUUUACAAUUUCAGUUUUUUCACCUAUAUUAUUUUCUACAUCCGAGGUGGUAGUAUUUCAUCCAAAAACGUUUAAUUCCAGAAUUUUAUCCGUUCACGUGUGGGCCGCUUGCCCUGUCUGCUUCGCUGUCGCUGGUCCGACUCCCUCGCUAUCAUCGGCCCGUGUUGUAAAAAAACGUUUCGCUGUUUACUCCUCUCACCCAUCUCCUUCUUUGACCCACACACGAACAAGCUAGGGUUGGAGCCGCCGCCCCUCCGGCCUGCCCGCCGGAGCUCCGUCCGCCACUCUUCUCCAUCUUCUCCCCCACCUCUACUCCCCCAGGCCCAACUGUGGUGGAUGACAUGCCCGCCGGCGCUCCAUACUCCCCUCUUCUCCAUCUUUCCCCUCGCCAUCUCCCUCCUCACUCCCUGUUCCAUCCCCACCCCUACUGCUGCAGGCUCAACCAUGGUGGUCAACACGGGGAUGUGAGCGUGCACGGGCGGCGUCGGUGGACAAGAGAUGCGUAGAGGAUCUCAAGUGCUGCAGACGCUGGCGAGGUGAGAAUGAUAUUACACUGUUGAUGGAGCGCAAGUAGCACAAGUUAAUCAUGUGCAUUGCCCAUUAUUGAAUAUCAGGUUCAAUGUUCUUGAUUUCUUAUUUGAGCUGUUACUCAUUACUUUUUUAAUCAGGUACAAUAGUCAACUCCAUCCCCUGAUCUCAAGAUAGCUCUAUUAAAUCUCUUGAUGGUAUAACAGGGCAUUGGCAGGAAUUCUUGAUGAUUGAGGAAAUUAUGGCAGGCAUUCUUGAUGGUAUAUUAAAUCUUGGUUUGAUGGGUACUUUUGUGAAGAAACUAUUGAGUCCCAGGCCUGAUGAUUAUUACACGGCAUGAGAAAUUCAAGAAUUGAAUGAGAAGAGUGAAGACGACUAGCAGGUUGGGUUCUCUAAGGAAUGCCCAUACGAACUCGCUAUGGCGAGGAUGACUCAAUGAAUGGACAUGUCGAUCAUGCUCAGCCAGUUGCACAGUUAGAAGUUGGAAUCGAACCCGAAAAGUUUGUGGAGUCCGUGCUGACAACCCUACCAGCUGGGAGGUAGGAACUACCUUUUCUCCCUAUUUUGAUAUGCAAGAUUGAAUAUUAAGGCAUUAUUUGAAAUCUAUUUACCGAGGCAGGGACAUGAGAAAAACUAUUUUUUCUCCUGUUGCAACACACUGGCCGAAGGUUACAAGUGUGCAAACCCGUAUUGUUGUUUAUAAAGAUGGAAUUUAUUAGUCGUUUUUGGCUAUCGAAUUGGUGAUGCAAUCCGUCCCCACAUCUGUGUCUUCACCACUUCGUCCUCCCGCACAAUCAGCAGAACAGAGUAGCUGCAGCGAUUUGGCCAUUCAUCUCUUCGAGUGAUUCAAACCUAGGAAGCCUGCUACUUGCGCAAGCAACAUGACUCUUCCUUCAAGGAAAUCUAAUUAUCUAGGUAUAUGGAAAGGAGGCAAAUUAUGUAACUAUUUGGGCGUACUCAUGCUCUGCUAUGCAGAUUGAGGAGAAAGAGUUAUUUUAUUGUGAUGAUGAUUAAUUUUUUCAUCUUGUGAUCUUCUUUGCUCAAGUCAGCCUACAUAUGUUAUCUGUUUGUGUCCCGGAGCGCGGCUUUGGUGAGGGGCUGCACGGCGUGGAAGUUGGGGAGGAGGAGCGCCACGGCGAGGGUGGAGGCGAGCACGAUGAGCGGCAGGAAGAGCCCGCCGUGGCGCGCCAGGGGGAGGGUGACGUCCUUCCAAGAGCGACCGCCAGAGGCUGCCGAUCCGGAGCAGUUGAUGGCCACCGCGGCCGCACGGGCGAGGGACGCAAGAACGAUGUGGUGACCUUCUUCGAUGUGUGCUAUUUUGUCUCUCUUCCUUGCGUCUCAUGCUUUGAUUUGGGUGUUCUUUGGUUUGUUCAUAUUAUCACUACGUUCUCGAGUGACUAAUCAGUGCUGCUAGAAUAUUAGAAAGAUGUGCGUAUAGAUUUUUGGCCUGUUCUUCUUCAUUGAUGCAGGUGUGUAAGGAAUUGGUUCGAAACUUCGAAUAAUGAUUUUCUGUACAACCUAUCUGCCUGAGUCCCAUGCAUUGAUUUUUGCAACAUUGCAAAGAUCUAUCUCUAUUUCCUGUUGAUGAGAGAGGAACACGAAUAUUAGUUGUUCAGUACUUCAUGCAAUGAUACAACUACAAUCUGCAGCAUACUACUUGGCCUUGCAUGUAGUCUGAAAAUGAUUCCCGGCCUGUAUAUUUGCCUAUGGAGGCAUGCAAGAUUGUUGAAGGGCAAAUGUACUCUAAGAAGCUGAAUGAUAAACCAGGUUACCAACAUAUGUAGAGCUUCCUUUUGGGAUUUGUGCAGGCCAUGGUCUGGAGGACAUGUCCGAUUCACUAACUCAAUUUCAAGGAAACAGUGGAAAGGCAGAAAAAGGAAACCACAUGGAUUUAGAAAUUUCAGCAUUGUAGAGCUCAGUUGAAAAGGAAAACGAGAUUUAUAACAAUCAACUAGAGUGGUGAUUCGAUUUUUGACAAUUGGUACUUUGGUUGUGUGGUCGAUGAAGACAUGAGAUUGAUUUAGAUGGGGCAGUAGGUUUGCUCGGAGAGGAGGUGAGAAGGACGGAGAUAGAAGAAGAACCUUGAGAUGAUAGUGAUAUUGUUGACUCAAUACUUUAUUGGCUCUACUUUGUGUCGAUCUUUCAGGUGCAUGAAUAGUAAUUUGUGCAAAACUACGCUUUCCCUUGUCAUUUGAUAAUUGUUUUUCUUUAUGGUGCUCAUGACAUAUUUUUUUAUCUACA